CAUCUGCAGCAAAAUAAAUGUUUGUAGAGACUGGUAACGUUCCUCUCCUGCUGUGUUCUUCAACCUCUGAACUAGCUCAAGUUCUUCCUGGGAAAAGGGUGCACAUAAAAACCUGAUACCCCUGUAUCAUUUUCUCUUUGUUUCUUCCAAUGACCUGCUCCAACACAGCUUUGCAACAUCAGAAUGUGACUAUUUUUUGAAGGAGACUUAUCAAGAUUAAAUGGGUCAUUAAAAACAUCACACUGCAAAGGAUUGGUGAAUGGCCCUAUCACACUUUGGAAAUGCUAAAGCAAAGAAGCUCGCUCGCUCAUGGACUGGAAGGCCAAAUGUAAAAGAAUGAACAGCAGCCUCAGAGGUCAAAUAGUCUUUCUUGCUGAAGAAUGGACUGCACAUGGAACACGGGAUCUGAAAAUGGAAG